AUGAUCAAACGUGAUCAAACCUUAUGGAAUAAAUUGUUGACCCAUGAAGAGUGCAUAUUUUCCGGGAUUUGUGAUAUCACAAAGAUCGACGAAUGGGACGAGACCUGGUUGAGCUGCAAUAGAGAAGGCAACGAGUGUAAUCACUUUUCAAAAACUACAACGAACAGCUCGACAUUUCCUGACCAGGCGCCGAGUGCUGUCAAACACAACACACAUUGGCCCAGCUAACCAGUCACAACACAGACUGGCACAGAUGGCAAUGCCACUGAAACCAGGACUCCCGAUGAGCCCAGAUUGGAAAAACCCUGGAAAAGCUAGCUUCUCAGGAAAACCAGAAUGAUGCCAUCUCUGCAUACUGCAAAAACCUUGAGCACAGAAUGCUGAACUUGCCCCAACAUGUACUGCUGCAUUUCCAGCACGAGGUGGACAACUGCAUUUUUAAGUAUUUGGUGGGCCAGAGCCAGACCCUAGAAACGUCCAAUGAACGGUUUCAUCUGUAAUUUUAUGUGCCAACAAGUAACUAUGUACAAAUGGAAAAUUGUAUUAAAAAUAUUUUUUACUUUAAGUACCUAGUUGUUUUUUAAUAUGUAUACAUUUUUAUAUCUUUGUCUUAUAAGAGUUUGACUGCCCAGUGCACUGCACAUUUGAAAGUAAAAUACUUUGGUUACUGGAUACUUUGUUUUCUUUCUUUAUGUUUUUGGUCAAAAGAGAACACAAAACAAACUCAGGCAAUAGUCCUAGAGCUGAAACUAAGGGCACUCCCUGGUGUUAAAGUUAGUUUGUGAGUGUAGUAUAUAUAAGAGUUGAUAUGUAAAAGCCUUGAAGUGACAUUUGAAAUAUCCAUGUAUGUGAAAAUAAACAUUGUUGUUCACUAAUUUCACAUCAGUGGCAAUGAACAAACACACUAGCUAUAUUUUGCUCCACUGGAAAAGCACUGCACCAAUUUCUAAAAUAAAGUACUGGCAUAGUUCGUCCUUGCUCCGCUUGGCUCUUGUUGUUGUAUUGGUGGUGUUUGGCAGCGGGGCCUGCAGUAAGUCUGGGUCUUGUCUCCAUCUUCCUUGAACAGUGUCAUGAUCUGGCCCUUCCUGGUCGAUUCCUUCCAUGUAUAUCUCACCGCAUUCUGUCCGCAGAAAGUUGUGCAGAGCACAGCAAGCUAAAACAUUGUCCUCCACUUUAGCAGUAUCUUGAAUGUUAAUGGUGUUUAGAAAGACUCUAAAACUAUUUGCAAGGAUACCAAAAGCAUUUUCUACCAACCUCUGAGCUCGUGAAAGUCUGUAAUUGAAGAUCCAUUGCUGAACUGAUAGUCUGCGUUUUGGAUAUGGCUUCAUGAGAUACUCCUUCAAGGGAAAUGCCUCAUCUGCCACAAUACAAUAAGGAGCCAGCUGGUCAAAACCAGGAAGUGGUGCAGGGGCAGGGAUGUUGACAGUUCUAUUUUCUAGGGCAUUCUGCAGUGAGCACCCCCCAAACACUCCGCCGUCAGAAAUCUGUCCAUUUCACCCAACAUCUACAUAUAGGAACCUGUAACUGCUGUCAACCAGUGCCAUUAGAACUACUGAAAAUGAAUGCUUGUAGUUGUAGAAUGUUGAUCCCGCUGCAAGAGGUGGGCGAAUGUAGAUGUGUUUUCCAUCCAGGGCACCCAGGCAGUUUGGGGAGUUCCAUUGAGUAUCAAAUCCAUGUGCUACUUGCUGCUACUGUUCCACUGUGUCAGGGCACUGAAAUACAAAAAAAUCACAUCUAAGAGCACAUGUUGGCUUCUUUCAUGUCAGCUACAGGAUUCAUAAAAUGAUGAUAUCUUUAACAAAUUUACAUAGAUAUAUAAACAGAUAUUACACACAUACCUUGAGGUAUUUAUCUUUUAAAACCUGAUAGAUUGCAGAGCAGGUUUCAGGAAUGAAUUCUCUGAAUUUUACGCCUUCUACAAUAGCAAGACCAAGUGCUGACAAUGCCAGUGUCAUUUGCAGAGUAUCAGACAUAUUUGCACAUGCGAAUCCCUCUAAAUGAUCUUGAUCGUGAUCUGUAAUGUAAGAUGGUCGCCACCUUGUUUGUUCACGCUGCAGUUCAGAGAGUCCUGUCAAUCGCAUUUACAGCACGUGAAUUCAUCAUUUUUUCCCGAAAUACAAUAAGUGGGCGGUGAACUGGGUGAAGAAAAGAGUGAACUUUAUAGUUACUUACACCAUGAUAUGAAUAAUAAACAUCUGCAAAUUAAAUUUGAAUGGAUUAUUAUUGUUGCUUCCAUAGACAUAUGUGUGUAUUUUUAGUCUAAAUGUGUUGUUUUACUAAUACUUAUGUGUAUUUAAAUGUCUGAAACCUAAAAUGUGCAUUAUGUGAUUAAGAACACUGCAUAGUUGUGAUAAUAUGACAAGAGCAGUGAACGUCUCUCUCUGGCUUAGCGCCAGCCAACGUGCGAAAACGCAGUUUGAAUUUGGCAGUUAUGUGACGUCA
ensembl:lncRNA